rnacentral:rRNA from 1 species
CCCCUAGUAACUGCGAGUGAAGCGGGAAGAGCUCAAAUUUGAAAUCUGGCGGCUCCGUCGUCCGAGUUGUAACCUGGAGAAGCGUUUUCCGUGCCGGACCGUGUACAAGUCCCUUGGAACAGGGCGUCGUAGAGGGUGAGAAUCCCGUCUUUGACACGGACUCCCGGUGCUCUGUGAUGCGCUCUCGAAGAGUCGAGUUGUUUGGGAAUGCAGCUCAAAAUGGGUGGUAAAUUCCAUCUAAAGCUAAAUAUUGGCGAGAGACCGAUAGCGAACAAGUACCGUGAGGGAAAGAUGAAAAGCACUUUGGAAAGAGAGUAAAACAGUACGUGAAAUUGUUGAAAGGGAAACGCUUGAAGUCAGUCGCGUCUGCCGGGACUCAGCUCCGCUCUGCGGGGUGCACUUCCCGGCUGACGGGUCAGCAUCGGUUUUGGGGGACGGACAAAGGCGGGAGGAAGGUGGCAGCUCCGGCUGUGUUAUAGCCUCCCGUUGUACGCGCCCUCCGGGACCGAGGAAUCCGGCGCUCGCCGCCUGGGAUGCUGGCGUAAUGGCUUUAAGCGACCCGUCUUGAAACACGGACCAAGGAGUGCUACACGCUCGCGAGUGUUUGGGUGGAAAACCCGGACGCGAAAUGAAAGUGAAAGUCGAGACCCUUUGCGGGGGCACCGACGCCCGAGCCUGACGUUUUCUGAAGGCCUUGCGGUAGAGCGAGCGCGUUGCGACCCGAAAGAUGGUGAACUAUUCCUGAGGAGGGCGAAGCCAGAGGAAACUCUGGUGGAGGCUCGUAGCGGUUCUGACGUGCAAAUCGAUCGCAGGACUUGGG